rnacentral:rRNA from 1 species
CGAUCAUUAGGGGUUCUGAGAGGAUUAUCCCCCACACUGGUACUGAGACACGGACCAGACUCCUACGGGAGGCAGCAGUGAGGAAUAUUGGUCAAUGGACGCAAGUCUGAACCAGCCAUCCCGCGUGCAGGAUGACGGCCCUAUGGGUUGUAAACUGCUUUUGUUUGCCAAGAAUGGUUACUACGUGUAGUAAUUUGACGGUAGCAAAUGAAUAAGGACCGGCUAACUCCGUGCCAGCAGCCGCGGUAAUACGGAGGGUCCAAGCGUUAUCCGGAUUCAUUGGGUUUAAAGGGUGCGCAGGCGGAACUUUAAGUCAGUGGUGAAAUCUUGCCGCUUAACGGUAAAAUUGCCAUUGAUACUGAAGUUCUUGAAUAUGGUUGAGGUAGGCGGAAUGUGUUGUGUAGCGGUGAAAUGCAUAGAUAUGACACAGAACGCCGAUUGCGAAGGCAGCUUACUAAGCCAUUAUUGACGCUGAGGCACGAAAGCGUGGGGAGCGAACAGGAUUAGAUACCCUGGUAGUCCACGCCGUAAACGAUGAUCACUCGCUGUCUGCGAUACACAGUAGGCGGCUGAGCGAAAGCAUUAAGUGAUCCACCUGGGGAGUACGAUCGCAAGGUUGAAACUCAAAGGAAUUGACGGGGGCCCGCACAAGCGGAGGAACAUGUGGUUUAAUUCGAUGAUACGCGAGGAACCUUACCUGGGCUUAAAUGUAGAUUGCAUAUCUUAGAGAUAGGAUUUUCCUUCGGGACUAUUUACAAGGUGCUGCAUGGUUGUCGUCAGCUCGUGCCGUGAGGUGUCGGGUUAAGUCCCAUAACGAGCGCAACCCCUAUCGUUAGUUGCUAGCAGGUAAUGCUGAGGACUCUAGCGAGACUGCUACCGUAAGGUGAGAGGAAGGUGGGGAUGACGUCAAAUCAGCACGGCCCUUAUGUCCAGGGCUACACACGUGUUACAAUGGCAGGUACAAAGGGCAGCUACACAGCGAUGUGAUGCUAAUCCCUAAAGCCUGUCCCAGUUCGGAUUGGAGUCUGCAACCCGACUCCAUGAAGUUGGAUUCGCUAGUAAUCGGAUAUCAGCCAUGAUCCGGUGAAUACGUUCCCGGGCCUUGUACACACCGCCCGUCAAACCAUGGAAGCUGGGGGUGCCCGAAGUCUGUGACCGCAAGGAGCGGCCUAGGGUAAAACUAGUAACUAGGGUUAAGUCGGAACAAGGUA